AAUUAAAUAAACAAACAAAAAUAAAUAAAAAUAAAUAAAAAAAAAAUAAAAAAAUGAAAAAAAAGAAUUUUUUUUUAUAGUUUCAGAUUAUAUGUUUCAGAUUCGAAAUUUUUAUAAAUUUUUUUUUAUUUCUUUUUCAAAAUUUUUUUUUUAUUUUUUUCGAAAUUUUUAUUUUUUUCGAAAUUUUUAUUUUUUAUUAGUAUUUAUUCUUUAUAAAAUUUUAAACCCUAAUUCCGAAACCCCACCCCUUAACUCUAAACCCUAAGGUUUGGAUUAAUUAACCCAAAGAUUAUAAGUGUAUAUUUACCUCUUUAAUGAAACUUAUUUUGUGACUUUGAGCCUUGAA
rnacentral:lncRNA from 1 species